rnacentral:rRNA from 1 species
CGGAAGGUUGGCUAAUACCGCAUACGCCCUACGGGGGAAAGCUAGGGAUCUUCGGACCUGGCGUUAAUGGAGCGGCCGAUAUCUGAUUAGCUAGCUGGUGGGGUAAAGGCCCACCAAGGCGACGAUCAGUAGCUGGUCUGAGAGGACGACCAGCCACACUGGAACUGAGACACGGUCCAGACUCCUACGGGAGGCAGCAGUGGGGAAUUUUGGACAAUGGGCGCAAGCCUGAUCCAGCCAUUCCGCGUGAGUGAAGAAGGCCUUCGGGUUGUAAAGCUCUUUCGCAAGGGAAGAAAACUUAUCCUCUAACAUAGGAUGAGGUUGACGGUACCUUGAUAAGAAGCACCGGCUAAC